UAGCCGUAAACGAUACUCGCUAGGUGUCGGCCACGGUGCGACCGUUGUCGGUGCCGUAGGGAAGCCGUGAAGCGAGCCACCUGGGAAGUACGGCCGCAAGGCUGAAACUUAAAGGAAUUGGCGGGGGAGCACAACAACGGGUGGAGCUUGCGGUUUAAUUGGAUUCAACGCCGGGAAGCUCACCGGAUAAGACAGCGGAAUGAUUGCCGGGCUGAAGACUCUGCAUGACUAGCUGAGAGGUGGUGCAUGGCGUAGACGUCU
rnacentral:rRNA from 1 species